CAGUCGCCGCGGUAAUACGCAGGUCCCGAGCGUUGUCCGGAUUUAUUGGGCGUAAAGGGAGCGCAGGCGGUUUAGUAAGUCUGAAGUUAAAGGCAUUGGCUCAACCAAUGUAUGCUUUGGAAACUGUUAGGCUUGAGUGCAGAAGGGGAGAGUGGAAUUCCAUGUGUAGCGGUGAAAUGCGUAGAUAUAUGGAGGAACACCGGUGGCGAAAGCGGCUCUCUGGUCUGUCACUGACGCUGAGGCUCGAAAGCGUGGGUAGCGAACAGGAUUAGAUACCCCUGUAGUCCCUGUCUCUUAUACA
rnacentral:rRNA from 1 species